UACGUAGGUGGCAAGCGUUGUCCGGAAUUUAUUGGGCGUAAAGCGCGCGCAGGCGGUUUCUUAAGUCUGAUGUGAAAGCCCCCGGCUCAACCGGGGAGGGUCAUUGGAAACUGGGAAACUUGAGUGCAGAAGAGGAAAGUGGAAUUCCAAGUGUAGCGGGUGAAAUGCGUAGAGAUUUGGAGGAACACCAGUGGCGAAGGCGACUUUCUGGUCUGUAACUGACGCUGAGGCGCGAAAGCGUGGGGAGCAAACAGGG
rnacentral:rRNA from 1 species